rnacentral:rRNA from 1 species
UACGAAGGGGGGCUAGCGUUGUUCGGAAUCACUGGGCGUAAAGCGCACGCAGGCGGAUUGAUAAGUCGGGGGUGAAAUCCCGGGGCUCAACCUCGGAAUUGCCUUCGAUACUGUCUGUCUUGAGUCCGGGAGAGGUGAGUGGAAUUCCUAGUGUAGAGGUGAAAUUCGUAGAUAUUCGCAAGAACACCAGUGGCGAAGGCGGCUCACUGGCCCGGUACUGACACUAAGGUGCGAAAGCGUGGGGAGCAAACAGG